AUUGAACGCUGGCGGCAGGCCUAACACAUGCAAGUCGAACGAGUGGCGGACGGGUGAGUAAUGUGUGGGACACUGCCCGAUGGAGGGGGAUAACUACGGGAAACGGUAUCUAAUCCCGUAUACUAUCGGAUGUGCCCAUAUGGGAUUAGCUAGUAGGUGGGGUAAUGGCUCACCUAGGCGACGAUCCCUAGCUGGUCUGAGAGGAUGACCAGCCACACUGGAACUGAGACACGGUCCAGACUCCUACGGGAGGCAGCAGUGGGGAAUAUUGCACAAUGGGCGCAAGCCUGAUGCAGCCAUGCCGCGUGUAUGAAGAAGGCCUUCGGGUUGUAAAGUACUUUCAGCGGGGAGGCGUUACUCGCAGAAGAAGCACCGGCUAACUCCGUGCCAGCAGCCGCGGUAAUAC
rnacentral:rRNA from 1 species